UACAGAGGGUGCAAGCGUUAAUCGGAAUGACUGGGCGUAAAGGGCGCGUAGGCGGUUAAUCAAGUUGGAUGUGAAAUCUUUGGGCUUAACCUAAAGACGGCAUGCAAGACUGAAUGACUGGAGUGCAGUAGAGGAGAGCGGAAUUUCCGGUGUAGCGGUAAAAUGCGUAGAGAUCGGAAAGAACACCAGUGGCGAAAGCGGCUCUCUGGACUGUAACUGACGCUGAAGUGCGAAAGCGUGGGGAG
rnacentral:rRNA from 1 species